rnacentral:rRNA from 1 species
UACGUAGGGACCAAGCGUUGUUCGGAUUUACUGGGCGUAAAGGGCGUGUAGGUGGUUUCGUAAGUCUGGCGUGAAAUUUCUCGGCUUAACCGAGGCAGGUCGUCGGAUACUGCGGAACUAGAGGACGGUAGAGGCGUGUGGAAUUCCGGGUGUAGUGGUGAAAUGCGUAGAGAUCCGGAGGAACACCAGUGGCGAAGGCGACACGCUGGGCCGUACCUGACACUGAGGCGCGAUAGCAUGGGGAGCAAACAGG